AUUGUUCUAUCCAAUGAUUUGUGAAUAUUUACAAAGUUGAAGGAAAAAAAAGGAAAAUCUGACGCUCUUGCUCUGCAAAACUCUUGCCUCAUUGUGAUUGGAGCCAAUCGGAGGUUACUUAAAUCAUCUGUUGUGAAAUUAGCUUUGUACUCGAUCAAAUGAACAUAUUCGUCAGUUAAAACUCAGAAGAAAGAAAGCUACUGAAAUGGAAAUGAACACAGUGUUCCUGAGUAUAAACAGUAAUCUAUUGAUGUUCCUCAACGAGUCUUACCCACCUCUGCAAUCAUCCGUUUCAGUUUUUUGCGGUUGCAGGAGGAACCCCAAUGCAUGCCAUCGUUUGUCCGCCCGUUUUAGCUCUCUGGCGGCUGUCACAGCCACAGUCACCGAGGAAGACUCCCGACAAGCUCCCUCUAAAUCGGUGGCUCGCCGCCUUAUUCUCCUCCGCCAUGCUAAGAGUUCUUGGGACAACCCUUCAUUGAGAGAUCAUGAUCGACCUCUGAGCAAAGCUGGAAAAGCUGAUGCCGCCCAAGUCUCUCAGAAGCUCCUACAGCUUGGUUGGAUUCCUCAGCUUAUUCUAUCCAGUGAUGCAACGCGGACAAGGGAAACGCUUAACAUAAUGCAGGAGCAAGUUGCAGACCUUUUGAACUCUGAGGUUCAUUUCAUUCCAAGCUUCUAUUCAAUUGCAGCGAUGGAUGGCCAGACUGCUGAGCAUCUUCAGCAAGCUAUCUGCAGAUAUUCAAGUGAUAAGAUCCUCACUGUCAUCAAGCAUCUGCAUCUCCAAGUUUGUGUUAGCAUCCAAAAUUGUUAUGGAGUCAAAUGGGUAUAAAUAGAACACCAAGGAAAUGGAAAAGAAGAAGAAUGAGAAUACCAAAGGAAAUGGAAAAAGAAAAGGAAAGAAAAGGACCCAUUCUUUGUUUGGUUUAGGCGUUUAAUUUUUAUUUCCUUCUUAGAACUCUAAUUUCAUUUCUAUCAUGUAUUACUGAAAAAAAUAGAUGAUUCUUAGUUGAUUGUAUAGGUGCAUGGGACAUAAUAGGGGGUGGGAGGAGGCAGCCUCAAUGUUUACUGGUGCGACUGUGGAACUGAAGCCAUGCAAUGCUGCUUUGCUUGAAGCUACUGGGAAGUCCUGGGAAGAGGCAUUUGUUUUGGCAGGACUUGGUGGGUGGAAGCUUCAGGGUGUUGUAAAACCAAAUGAUGACCUGUAGCAUGUACCAGAAAUUUUGAAUGCCUUCCAUAAGAUCGACACCUUUGUCCCCUCCUUUACAAAAAGAAGAGAAAUUGGAGUUUAACUUUUUGGCUAAUGGUGGUAAUUGUUCAUGUUUACUCUCUGUACUAAUUUGUCCCCCAUUUGAUCUUACAGAACUUUGAUUUAGUCUGGAAAAAAGGAGCCUGCUCAAGAAACAUUCUAUGAUAUAAGUUGUCGAAAAAAUGAAAACAAGGUUUCUUGCCACUGGAAACCUAUCUGAGCUUAAGGAGCUAAAUGAUAUGAGGAUCUUGGCAUGCCAGCCUGCGGGAAGUGUUUUUUUUGUUUUUGUUUUUCUCUUUUUCGUAUGAUGUUGAGGAAGAUGGAUCUUGCGGUUCAUUCAUCUGAUUGAUAUCCAUAUUGUAGCACUUUUAUUGAUUAUUGAAAUGAGAAAUCAGAUAUAUCAUCAGUGCA